AUUGAACGCUGGCGGCAGGCUUAACACAUGCAGGUCGAGCGGAGAGAGGUAGCUUGCUACUGAUCUUAGCGGCGGACGGGUGAGUAAUGCUUAGGAAUCUGCCUAUUAGUGGGGGACAACAUUUCGAAAGGAAUGCUAAUACCGCAUACGUCCUACGGGAGAAAGCAGGGGACCUUCGGGCCUUGCGCUAUCAGAUGAGCCUAGGUCGGAUUAGCUAGUUGGUGAGGUAAUGGCUCACCAAGGCGACGAUCCGUAACUGGUCGGAGAGAAUGUUCAGCCACACUGGAACGGCGACACGGUCCAGACUCCUACGGGAGGCAGCAGUGGGGAAUAUUGGACAAUGGGCGAAUGCCUGAUCCAGCCAUGCCGCGUGUGUGAAGAAGGUCUUCGGAUUGUAAAGCACUUUAAGUUGGGAGGAAGGGCAGUAAGUUAAUACCUUGCUGUUUUGACGUUACCGACAGAAUAAGCACCGGCUAACUCUGUGCCAGCAGCCGCAGUAAGAC
rnacentral:rRNA from 1 species